GCAGCUCCCACCUGUGUUGGCGACAUGGCUGACACCCCCAGAGACGCCAUGCUCAAGCAGACACCUACACCUUAAGAGGAGUUCGGCUACACGGGGAUCGACUCCAUCCUGGAGCAAAUGCGCAGGAAGGCCACGAAGCAGGGCUUUGAGUUCAACGUCAUGGUGGUUGGGCAGAGCUGCUUAGGAAAGCCCACCUUAAUCAACAGCCUCUUCAAGUCCAAAAAUCAGCCGGAAGUCAGUGCAGCCCACGUCAGAGGAGCGCAUCCCCAAAACCCUUGAAAUCAAGUCCAUCACCCACGAUAUCGAGGAGAAGGGGUGCGGAUGAAGCUGACUGUGAUCGUCACACCUGGGUUUGGGGACUACAUCAACGAUAAGAACUGCUGGCAGCCCAUGAUGAAGUUCAUCAACGCCCAGUACGAGAAGUACCUUCAGGAGGAGGUCAACAUCAACUGGAAGAGGCGCAUCCCGACCACUCGCGUCCACUGUUGCCUCUACUUCAUCCCUGCCACCGGCCACUCACUCAGGCCCCUAGACACUGAGUUCAUGAAGCGUCUGAGCAAGAUGGUCAACAUUGUCCUCGUCAUCGCCAAGGCUGGUAUGCUGACCCUGGAGAAGAGGGUCUACUCCAAAUAGCGGAUCUCUGCAGACCUGCUGUCCCACGGCAUCGACGUGUUUGAUGAGGACUCAGAGGACCGACUGGUGAACAAGAAGUUCCAGGAGAUGAUACCAUUUUCUUUGGUGGGCAGUAACCAUGAGUACCAAGUCAAUGGCAAGAGGAUCCUUGGGAGGAAGACCAAGUGGGGCACCAUCGAAGUUGAGAACACCAUGCACUGGGAGAUGGCCUACCUGCGGGAUCUCCUUAUCAGGACGCACAUGCAGAAUAUCAACGACGUCACCUGCAGCAUCCACUUGGAAGCCUGCCUCGUGAAAGAACUCAAUGAGGGCCACAACGCCAUUGCCAACAGGGUCGAGGAGAAGGAGCCAGAAGCCCAGGAGAUGUAG